AUCGUCACUCAAACUAUCGGCAGAAGCAACCUUGUCGCCUAGAGCUGGUACCAUAAGACCCUUCCAGGAAUCAACCUGUGAGAUUUCCUACAAACAAAAUGGCCAUUGGCAUUAUUUAAAACAAAAUUACCUCUGGAACUGAAGAAUGGAUCGGUGGAGGGCUUUCGGUUGGUUCGACAGGAGGGGAGGCAAGACACUGGGCUUCUGCGGGAACUUCACGUAUCGGAUGCACAAUAUGGACCUCUGAAAACGGAUACAACAGCAGCAUAUGAAGAACACCAACAGCACGGCAACACCAGCACCAGACACUGAAGCAAAUUGGAAAUUAAAGGCUUAAACUUCUGAUG